AUUGAACGCUGGCGGCAUGCCUUACACAUGCAAGUCGAACGGCAGCACGGGUGCUUGCACCUGGUGGCGAGUGGCGAACGGGUGAGUAAUACAUCGGAACGUACCUUAUCGUGGGGGAUAACGCAGCGAAAGCUGUGCUAAUACCGCAUACGCCCUGAGGGGGAAAGCGGGGGAUCGAAAGACCUCGCGCGAUUAGAGCGGCCGAUGCCUGAUUAGCUUGUUGGUGGGGUAAAAGCCCACCAAGGCGACGAUCAGUAGCUGGUCUGAGAGGACGAUCAGCCACACUGGGACUGAGACACGGCCCAGACUCCUACGGGAGGCAGCAGUGGGGAAUUUUGGACAAUGGGGGAAACCCUGAUCCAGCAAUGCCGCGUGAGUGAAGAAGGCCUUCGGGUUGUAAAGCUCUUUUGUCAGGGAAGAAACAGCAGCUCUAACACAGUCUGCGAAUGACGGUACCUGAAGAAUAAGCACCGGCUAACUACGUG
rnacentral:rRNA from 1 species